rnacentral:tRNA from 1 species
GCCCCCAUCGUCUAUUGGCUAGGACAUUGCCCUUUCAAGGCAAAAAGAGGGGUUCGACUCCCCUUGGGGGCGCCA